rnacentral:tRNA from 1 species
GCCCCUGUGGCGCAGCGGCAGCGCGCGUCCUUGGUAAGGACGAGGUCGCGAGUUCAAAUCUCGCCGGGGGCU